rnacentral:misc_RNA from 1 species
AUGUGUUUGAUAUUCUGUCGAUUCGUUAUAAUUUUUUGGAUCCUAUUGCAAAUUGAGGGGGUUGUUGUUAAUGAUUCAAGAAUCCAGAGUUGGAUGCAUUCGCGAGAUAUCCGGCACCGGGAUCCCCAAAUAUUUAUGAUGGAUCUUUCCGGAAGUGUAACGAUUUGAAUGAGAAAGGAGGACAUCGGAGGAAAUAUUGUUAUUUAAUUCAGGCAGAUGAAAAAAUGAAUUGUCGAGAGGAAUAUCAUUCGAUUCUUUUUAAGCCCAACAGGACUGCUUUUGGGUUUUGUGGUCCUGAAAUCUGUCAUGGGAAAGACUACGCUUCAAUGUUUGGAAGCAUGGAAAAAACAUUUCAUUUUUUGAUGGAUAGGCCCGUCUGUGCUGCAUUUUGCACAGUUCGAGAUAUUCCAAAAAAACUUCAAUUUUAUUUUUUCACAGCUUUCUUGAUAAUGCUCGGCAGUGUUGUUUUCUUCUCGUCGCUGUAUGAUUAUGUUAGAGACACUAGAUAUCGCCUGAGCUCCGAGUCUGAAAAAGUUUUCGGUCAACGAAUAAUAUUAUCAUUUUCUCUAUGGUCCAACAUCGAAUUCAUAUUUCAAGAUAAACGGCCCGAUUACAUUAGAAGUCUUGAUUGCAUUCGAGCUAUCACUUUUACAUGGGUUGUCGGUCAGAAUGUUGUUGGUCAUUUGGGAUUUUAUGAUGAUAAAAUUCGUGUAGAUCCAUCCAAAAUUUCCUUGGCAAGUUCAGCUAUGUCUAGCCUUCUUCCGAUAUACACGUACCUUUUUAUGUCAGGACUCACAGUAUCAUAUACAUUCUUAAAAGGAAAACCAUCACUUGAUGUGCUGAAACAACCUUUUACAUGGCUGAUUUUCUUUUUCCACAGGUGGAUCAGAUUGACAUCUGCACUCAUGGUUUUUAUUGGUUUUUUCGAUGCCUACGGAAAGUACAUUCAAGGCCCUUAUGAUGCACUCACCGGAUAUUCCAUGGUUACUCAAACAGAUCUAUGCACAUACUGGAUGGAUAUAAUUCAUAUCAGUAAUUUUGUAGCUGUCGAUGAAAUGUGUUAUCUGCCUGCUUGGCAUUUGGCAGUGGAUUUUCAGUUUACAAUAUUUGCUCCAUUUUUUCUGUUGGCAUUCCAUUACUCAACAGUUUUAGGAACAAUUCUUGCAAUCAUUGCAUCACUUAUCGGCUCGGGACUGACUGUAUUUUUCUUUUUACAGAAUACAAUUCUGAAUUCAGCAUUUACCGGGGACCACGUACAUGACGACAAGCUGGUUGAAAUCAUUCUUUCAAAACCGUGGAAUCAGAUGGCUCCUUACAUGAUGGGAAUGAUAGCUGGAUGCAUUUUGGGGAAACAUUCUGGAAGUAAAAGAAUUAUACAUCCAGUAGCAUCUUCUAUCAUUUGGAUUAUAAUCACAGUUCUUGGAUUGGUAGCUCUAAUUUUCGGACACUUUGGCACAAGUCAGCUGGAAAAAGCUCUCACCAACGUUUCUACUCGAGCAGUUUGGUCAAUAUGUCUUAUGUGGAUUAUAAUUUCCACUGAAUUGAAAUCGGCCGGUCCCAUCGGACACUAUCUCGAGCAUCCGUUUUGGCGUCCCUUCGGAAAAUUAUCUUUCUGUGCAUUUAUUGUUCAUCAUAUGCUGCUAUAUUUUUUAUUCAAUAUACAAGAAGAAGCGCCUAAGUACACGAGUUUCUGGCACGAAUAUUUCCACUACACCAUUCCGAUCGUCAUCUAUUCAUAUUUCCUGGCUUUUUUCUUGAGCGUCGUCGUUGAAAUCCCAAUUUUAAGAAUCGACAGACUAAUUAUAGACCAGUUUGUUCCAGUAUCAAAAAUUGAGAAGAAGACAGAUGUAGAAGAAGACGAUAGUUUCAAGGAUACCAGCAAUAGAAGCGACAAUACUGAUGGAAGUAGCAAGAAAAUUAAAAAGAGCCCAGAAAAUCAAGAAACUGAUUACCAAUCAAGAAACGCCUAUUCACCUAAUGAGCCUCUUCUGGAAAAUGAUCUUUACUAAAUAAUGUAUUUUUUAUUUAUUGCCCGAAAUAAACAUAU